GCAUGUGGAAUAUGAAAUGUUAACCUUCUGUGAUUUUUUUUUUCCAGUAAAACCCCUCAUAUGCAUUUCUACCUUCUAAAGAUGCAGCAUAUGAAGAGAAAUUUGAACAGCAGCACUGUCAGCUGGUGCUGUCCCUCUUCCCCUUCCCUUGGAUGAGAGUUGACGCAGGAACAUCAGAAGUUUUGGCUUUGUGAAGAGAGAACCUAGAAUAAUCCUAGUCCCACCUUCCACAGACUGAAUGGGAUUUUGGCCAGUGAGAAAGUGUUACAAGGAAGGAAAUGGAAUGAACUAAAGUGAACUUCCUGAGGAGAACCACAGGGACUGGACAAGUUAGGUGAAGAUGGCAAAGAUCAAUGUCCUGAAGAACAAGAAGCCAUAUCCUGUCCACUGCUGAUAAUCUCCUGUUCUCAAAGAAGAUUGAGUCAUUCAUGUUAAAGAAAAUACUAAAACAUAACUCAGGUCUAAAUCACUCGAUCCUCUGCUUUCUAAGAAGUUAAAUUCUGGGUCCUCAUUUCUGUUCUCUGAUACAAACAUUUUGAUAACAUCUGAUCUUUAUAAUCAGUUUCAUAUUACACAGUCGUCACUGUUAGUUCUCCAUUUGCUUCUCUUUUUGUUUAUUGAGUGAGAACUCUUUUAUGGGCUUCCAGUGUAAUCUUCAUGGCAGCAAUUGAUGUUUAAUGAAUUUUCAAGUCUGCUCUAUUUUCUCCAUUCCUCUCUGUUAGCCUUUACUGCUUCUUUAUACCAAGGUGUCUAAAAUUGAUAGUCAGUAUUUUAUUUUGACAACUUUUCUCAGCUUUUAUGGCUGCCAGGUUCCAAACAGGUAUGGUCUUUCAGUGUGCAGCUUGUAGUCAGAUGGGAGAUAGAAAAGUACUUUGCCUUUCUCAGACAUAGCAGUGCCAAAACUCACAUAAAUUAAUGUGCAAAUAGUAUAAGUAUAUAUAUAUAUGUAUAUAUAUAUAUAUAUAUAUAUAUAUAUUCCAGCCUAUGAGCAGGAAGGUAUUUACACUUCAUGGUAGAUUACAGAAGACUGUGCACUUGCUUUAACAAUAUGCUCUCUACACAGUUCCAACUGUACAAUUAUGAUUAGCAGCUCUCCUUCCCAGGCAGAAUUUGCAUUACUCAGCAGCAACACCUGGCUCCAGGGAAUUCUGAUGCUGGGUCUCAGGGUGUGGGGGUUAAAUUUGUCUUCUUCAGAGUAGAUCCUAGGGAGGAAGCUGAGUGAGAACCGCACUGGAUAAGAGAGGCUCCUGGGUUAAGAGGAACAACCAGCUGAACCAAUAUAGCAUCAUGGGAAGGAGAGGGGAGCAGUCCCAUGCAGGUACCAGCACUGUGCCCCGGGACCCUGAGGAGAAGGGAAGCUGUUGGUGGUGUUGUCUCCCUGCAGCCAAGCAACAGCCCAACACUUCGGCCACCAGCAAGAGCCAAAGGCAGCAUGUCUCUUACAUUGGAAUGCUCCCAGGGCAGUGCCAAAGUCCCCAUCUCUGGAGCUGGCCAUGUUGACCAGAAUGCUUCAGUGUCUGUAGAGAAAAGCAACUGGAACGUCAUGAACCAACUUUCUCAUGAGGGAGGACUCUGAGCCUCCCAAGAGUGAAGCUUGAGUUUUCAUGUGGUCACAGAGACUGACGAAAUCUCUGCUCUGGAUGAAUUAAACUGGAUCUGAGCUCCCCUAAGGGUGAGAACCACUGGGUGCCCUAUAUGUCAUGCCUGCAGAUCAGCCGUCAGAGGGCAGCUCCCUGGAUGCACAGUGCAACAGACACAUCUCUAAGGACUGAAAGAGUACACAGCUCCUACAUGGAGGCAGACUCAGGCUAGCAAGAGCCAGAGGCUCAUUAAAACAGCCAAGACUGUUUUGCCUUCUUUUUCUGUGGAGAAAGAAGGAUGUGGUAGCAAAGUUCUUGAAGCUGAAUUCCCUACUCCCUCAUACAUGUCCAGGACAAGGAAUUUUUUCUUCCUGUUUUGAUUCUGCUUGUUUAUUUGUGUGUCUCUUUUGUUGUGUGCAACAAAAAAUGUGUGUUUUUUGUUGCACAUGUUCAGGCACUCAUGUGUAGAGGUAUUUGUCUGAUCUCAUACCAGAGAUGGAUCAUGGGACCACAACGACCAAUAAAACUGUCAUGUGGGUCCUGGGAAGGUGGGUCAGGUGGGUCCUGGUGUGCAGAUAAAUGAAUGCUUGAAGGGCUUAGAUGCAACACAUCACUUUUGUGAGACUGAAUUUCAAAGAAGCUAAGUGAAACCAAAUUAUAUACUUCCACUUAGUUUAAUACCACCCCCUAGUGUCACACGUUGUAUUUUUCCACGCUGGUCCUGGUUUGCCUCUGCCUCUGAAUAGUAUGACCUUGAAGAUGCAGUAGCCAUACUACUGAUCAUGCUUUCAGGAAAGUGACAAAACAAGUCUGCUUUUUAGAAGUAGAUUUGUUGCCAAGACAUCAGACUUCAAAUGUUUCUCCCAGGGAGUUUAGAAAGCUUUCAAGCUCCUUUCUUUUAUCUAUGCCUGGGAGAGAAGCCUUGGGAUACAGUUCCUUCUUCUGUUAGUGAGCAUGAAGUACCCUGUUUGUUGCGAAGAUUUCAACUCCUGAUGACUUGUUUGCAGUAGACUGAUCAGAAAAGACAGUUUAUUCUUGAAAUAAGACCAAACAGAUACCUUGAAUAUUUAUAAGUCACCAUGAUUGGACAACAUUUUCCUGAAAGCCAUGAAGGAAUUUAAAUGUGAAACUGUGAACUGCUGGCCAAGCUGUAUAACCUGUCAUUAAUGUAUCUGUGCCAGAGCCCUUGUGGAUUGCCAGUGUAACUCCCACUAUGAAAAAUAAGUGGGGAAUCUGAUUUCCUUCUGUGGCAAGACAGUGGUGCCUAUAAUAAACAGUAAGAUUGACAAGUA